rnacentral:rRNA from 1 species
GUUUAUCAAAAACAUGUCUUUUUGAAUUUAAUUUAAAGUCUAACCUGCCCACUGAAUUUUUUUUAAAUGGCCGCAGUAUUUUAACUGUGCAAAGGUAGCAUAAUCAUUAGUCUUUUAAUUGAAGGCUGGAAUGAAUGGUUGGAUGAAAUAUAAACUGUUUCAUAAAAAUUUUAAAUAAAAUUUUAUUUUUUAGUUAAAAAGCUAAAAUAUUAUUAAAAGACGAGAAGACCCUAUAAAUCUUUAUAUUUAGUAAAUUUUAAUUAUUUUGAUAAUUUAAAUUAUGAUUUAUUUAAAUAUUUUAUUGGGGUGAUAUUAAAAUUUAAUAAACUUUUAAUUUUUUUUUAUUUACAUUAAUUAAUGAAUUGUUGAUCCAUAAAUAAUGAUUAAAAAAUUAAGUUACUUUAGGGAUAACAGCGUAAUUUUUUUAGAGAGUUCAUAUUGAUAAAAAAGAUUGCGACCUCGAUGUUGGAUUAAGAUAUAAUUUUAGGUGCAGUAGCUUAAAUUUAAAGUCUGUUCGACUUUUAAAUUCUUACAUGAUCUGAGUUCAAAC